GCAUAUCAAUAAGCGGAGGAAAAGAAACCAACAGGGAUUGCCUCAGUAACGGCGAGUGAAGCGGCAACAGCUCAAAUUUGAAAUCUGGCGGCCUCUGGGCCGUCCGAGUUGUAAUUUGAAGAGGAUGCUUUUGGCGAGGCGCCUUCCGAGUGCCCUGGAACGGGACGCCACAGAGGGUGAGAGCCCCGUAUGGUUGGACGCCGAGCCUCUGUAAAGCUCCUUCGACGAGUCGAGUAGUUUGGGAAUGCUGCUCAAAAUGGGAGGUAAACCCCUUCUAAAGCUAAAUACUGGCCAGAGACCGAUAGCGCACAAGUAGAGUGAUCGAAAGAUGAAAAGCACUUUGAAAAGAGAGUUAAACAGCACGUGAAAUUGUUGAAAGGGAAGCGCUUGCGACCAGACUUGUGCCCGUCGAAUCAGCCGCCGCUCGUCGGCGGCGCACUUCGGCGGGCUCAGGCCAGCAUCAGUUCGCUGCAGGGGGAGAAAGGCGAUGGGAAUGUGGCUCUUCGGAGUGUUAUAGCCCGCCGCGCAAUACCCCUCGGCGGACUGAGGACCGCGCAUCUGCAAGGAUGCUGGCGUAAUGGUCGUCAGCGACCCGUCUUGAAACACGGACC
rnacentral:rRNA from 1 species